ensembl:snRNA U4 U4 spliceosomal RNA
AACGUCGCUAGUGGCAGUAUCAUAGCCGAUUAGGUUUAUCCGAGGCACGAUUAUUGCUAAUUGAAAACUUUUCCAAUGCCCCACCAUGAGUACUUGAAAUAUAGUCAGCACUGGCAAUUUUUAACAGUUUCUAUGGAGA